UUCAUGACUGGCAUGUAUUGCAUAUUAGUGGUAGUGCCAUGUGUAUAGGAAACAAAUGUAAACUUGUGAAGUCUCCAGUUGUUGGAUGAGGCAUUACAAAGUAAUGCUGUCAAUUUUUGCUCAUAUAUUUUAAAUCUCUGCUAGUGGACACAACCACAUACAAAUGUUUGCUUAUGUUCCCUGUUGCAUGGUUUACCUUUCACAACCUAUUAUUUCUAUCUAUCGUGUCAUCAUAUUUUAAGAAUAUUUCUUAUAAGCAUGAUAGAGUUGGGUCUUCAUUUUCUUAGAGGGUCUAACAAUUUCUGCCCUUUGAGACAGGGGUUAAUCUAUUUAAUUUAAAUAUUUAUUGAUAUCUAGUCUUGGUUCCUCAGCUUCUCCUUUACUGCCUACAUUUAUUACUGCUAAUAAUAUUUUCAUAUUCAUAUUCAAUUUUACUUUAUUUAUUAGAAUGUAUAACUAUAUAAUGUUAUAUCUGCUUUAGUGGUUAUCCUGGAGAUUACAGAAUACAUUGAUAAUUUAUUACAAUCCACUUAGAAUUAGUAUUUAAUUAGUUUAUGUAAUAUAUAGAAAACUUGCAAGCAUGCAUUUCCUUUUUCCUCUCUAUAGUACUACU
rnacentral:lncRNA from 1 species